AUGGCCAUCAGCUUAGUUUCCGCUGACGAGGACACUGAUGGUACAGAGAUAUGCCCAAAACGGCGCCGACACCAAAACAUUGAAAGCAUUGCUGACAUCAUCCAAAGCAUAGCUGACAAGGUGGAUGCAGCAACAACCUUCAACAUCUGCGUUACGAGGGACCAGAUGCUGGAAAGAGGCAUGAAACUGUGGCAACGACAAAAUAAAUCUUCCCCCAAAAACCUUCUUACAGUUUCAUUCAUAGGAGAGGCUGGCAUUGACAGUGGUGCCCUGAGGAAGGAAUUUUUAACUGAAAUGCUGGCAGGGAUCGAGAGGAGGUUUUUUGAGGGGGGCAUUGAUGGCAAAGUACCAAAGUACUCAAUGACCGACUUUGAAAAAUACAACUUCAAGUAGGUUGUAAAAAAAGGCAGAUGAAGUGAAACUAUAGCAAUGCUUUUCUUUACACUCUCUCAUGCACACAGAUACUCAUGUUAUGAGAAGUAUAUUGUAUCAAAAAUAUUAACAUUAAUUGUUGUUAUUUUAAACAUCUUUCAGAUUACAUUGCUCGAAUUCAAAAAACACUUUACUACACAAAUAUUAGGCCCAAUGCGC